AAGAAGAUAACCAAACUUGGAAGAGAAAGAAAUAACCAAACGUGGUAGAAUCUCCGCGUCACCACUCAUCACUGAACUUUGAGUCUGAACUAGCAAGUGAGCGCAGAAACAAACUCUAGAAAGCUUCAAUUGGGGGAAAUUUGGGGAAAUAGAGCGAAUUGUGGAAUUGAGAGUCACAAUCAAUGGGUGCGAGUCGGAAGCUUCAGGGAGAGAUCGAUCGCGUUCUCAAGAAAGUCCAGGAAGGUGUUGAAGUCUUUGAUAGUAUCUGGAACAAGGUUUACGACACAGAUAAUGCCAACCAGAAGGAGAAGUUUGAAGCAGACCUCAAGAAGGAGAUUAAGAAGCUUCAGAGGUACAGGGACCAAAUUAAGACUUGGAUUCAGUCCAGCGAAAUCAAGGACAAGAAGGUUAGUGCAUCUUAUGAGCAAGCUCUAGUGGAUGCCCGCAAGUUAAUUGAACGUGAAAUGGAAAGGUUUAAGAUAUGUGAAAAGGAGACAAAGACCAAAGCAUUCUCUAAGGAAGGCUUAGGUCAACAGCCUAAGACUGAUCCAAAAGAGAAGGCUAAAUCAGAGACAAGGGAUUGGUUGAACAAUGUGGUUGGGGAGUUAGAAUCUCAGAUUGACAACUUUGAAGCUGAGCUUGAAGGGCUUUCUGUCAAGAAAGGAAAGAACAGGCCACCUAGAUUGACGCAUCUAGAGACAUCAAUUACUCGGCACAAGGCUCAUAUAAAGAAAUGUGAAUUUAUCUUGAGGCUAUUAGACAAUGAUGAGUUAAGUCCGGAGCAGAUUAAUGAUGUCAAGGAUUUCUUGGAUGAUUAUGUAGAGCGUAAUCAGGAGGACUUUGAUGAAUUCAGCGAUGUUGAUGAACUAUACAGCUCAUUGCCUUUAGAUAAGGUGGAGACUCUUGAAGAUCUUGUUACACUCCCCCCUGGCAUAUCUAAGGCUACUCCUAGUCUCAGCUUGAAGAAUACUUUGGCUGUUUCAGCAUCACAAUCAGCAUCAGCAUCUGCCUCACAAACAUCUGAGCAAGCUGAUGACACAGCAUCCCAGGAUAGCAAUUCUGAUAUUGGUGCAAGAACUCCACCUGCGAAAGUUAGUGGAAUUAUUUCUGCUACUUCCACACCAGCUGGCAACCAUGCUACUCCUCUUUCUGUGAAUGUUUCUACGCAUAAUUUGUCCAGUGCACCAGCUGCUGGAUCGGUCCUUUCUGGUUUGAAUUCAGUUCGGAGUCCCAUGGAGAAUGCUAAUGCUGCGAAUUCACCUUCUGCGAAUCAAUCUUCCUCUUUGAAGGAAGAAGAGAUUAAUAGUUUCCCUGGCCAGAGACCAUCCCCAUCGCUUUCUGAUGCAGCACUAAGGAGCAUUAGCCGAAACAACCUUUCAAAUCAAGCAGCAGCUAGCAUCCCUCUUGGUGCUGGGAACAUGGUUUCUAACAAUGGAACCCUUGGGUCAGUCCCUUCAGCCUCUGAAAUAACUAAGAGGAACAUGUUGGCAGCUGAUGAUAGACUUGGUGGAAGUAGUGGGAUGGUGCAGCCUCUUGUAUCUCCAUUAAGUAAUAGCAGAUUGAUCUUGCCUCAGGUUGGGAAGGCUAAUGAAGCUGCCUCAGCUGACUCUAAUGUCAUUAAUGAGGCUGCAGCUGUAUCUAGUAGAGUUUUCUCCCCAUCUGUGGUUCCUGGCAUGCAAUGGAGACCUGGAAGUCCAUUCCAGAACCAAAGUGAUGCGAUUCGUCAAAGAACUGAAAUAGCUCCAGAUCAAAGGGAAAAGUUUUUGCAGAAGUAUCAGCAAGUGCAGCAGCAGGGGCACAGCACCCUGCUUACUAUGCCUUCUCUUGGAGGAAAUCCUAAGCAGUUUUCUGCCCAGCAGCAAAAUCCACUUUUGCAACAGUUUAACUCCCAAGGUUCCUCUGUUUCUUCUCAAUCUGCUAUUGGCCUUGGAGUCCAGUCACCAGGUUUUAGUGGUAUUUCAACUACUACACUACAACAGCCACCCAAUUCGGUCCAUUCCCCAUCUAGUCAACAGUCAUUGAUGUCAGGUGUUUCCAAAGAUGCAGAUGUUGGCAAUUCUAAAAUUGAAGAUCUACAACAUCAGAAUUUUCCUGAUGAUUCAGCUGUUGAAUCUACUGGUAGUACUGGGGUUGGCAAGAGUCUCAUAAGUGAAGAUGAUUUGAAAUCAACAUUUGCUGCAGAUUCUCCAGCAGGGGUAUCCGUCUCCCUUGCAGAAGCUGGUCAAACAUCCAGAGAUAUUGAUUUGUCUCCUGGCCAACCUUUACAACCCAAUCAACCUACUGGUAACCUUGGUGUCAUUGGGAGAAGAAAUGGCACGGAUCUUGGAGCCAUUGGUGAUAGUUUCAUGGGAUCAAGUUCAAGUAUUAAUCCAAGUGGAGUGCGUGAUCAAUUAUACAAUUUGCAAAUGCUUGAGGCAGCACACUACAAACUUCCUCUACCCAGAGACUCAGAACGUCCUAGAGCUUAUACUCCUAGGCACCCAACGAUAACACCUUCUAGUUAUCCUCAGACACAGGCUCCUAUUGUUAAUAAUCCUGCUUUUUGGGAGAGAGUAGGUCUUGAACCAUUUGGCACUGAUACAUUGUUCUAUGCAUUUUAUUAUCAACAGAACACUUACCAGCAGUAUUUGGCUGCAAAGGAACUAAAGAAACAGUCCUGGAGAUACCACAAAAUGUAUAACACAUGGUUUCAGCGUCAUGAAGAGCCCAAAGUUGCUACAGAUGAAUAUGAGCAAGGAACAUACGUAUACUUCGAUUUCCAUAUUGCAAAUGAUGACCUUCAACAUGGGUGGUGUCAAAGAAUCAAAACUGAAUUCACUUUUGAAUAUAAUUAUCUUGAAGACGAGCUUCUUGUAUAGAGGAUUCAGACUCAAGUAGUAAUAAUGUCUUGGUUUUUAUUUUUUUUUCCUUGGGUUUUAGCAAAUAUAAUUGUUUGAUUUAUAAGCUUGUUAUGUUUUCCAAGUAUUUGUUUUCUUUCUCAUAUCCUUGUUCUUUAUUCUGCCAUACGUGUAUGGCUGUUUAUUCAUGUAAUCAUUCUCAUUUCGGCCCACUGAACUUAUGUUCAUGUUCUCCUUCUGCCGCCCAACACUUGGUUCUAGACAACAUAGCUGAUCUAAUGAUAGUACGAUGAAUUUACCCUUAAGUUUUGAAGAUAUUUUUUGUGGCAUAUGAAACCAUGGUUCUGAAAACCGGACCAGACCGGCCGGUCGAACCAGUUCAACCGGGAACCGGUGAUGCAAGCGGUUCGGUCCUGCACCUAUAACCGCUCGAACAAAAACCGUUGAAAACCUGUCCCGGCCGGUUCUGAUAAAACGACACCGUUUUUUAAUUUGUAGAAAAAAAAAAUGAAACGGAUCUAGUGAUCCACUCGUGACCCAACCCCCCCUCUUCCCCCAAUCAUUCAUUCAUUCAUGUUUCUUUGAAGCAAAGGAACUCUAGCCGGCUAGCCCUCCAUCGUCGCCGCCUAACCCAAGUCCUCGGCGCCACCGCCGUCCCAGGUCCUCAGCACCGCCGCUUCUUCCUCUUCCCCGUGUCCGGAACCCAGUAACUCGGCAGGUUCGUCUUUGGCUCUUCAUCUUAGCUGGCUUCUCGGCACAGACCCAGGUUUAGUGUGAUUAUUGGUUAAUGUUUUGUAAUGUUUGGUGCAGAAUGCUGAUUGUUGAGUUCAGAUAUGGUUGUUUAUUUUGACUUGGGUAAAGAGACUUAUGGUCAUUUUUUCCUGCCUUAUACCAAUUUAGAUGAUUAUUUUCAGAGGAUGAGCACUUAUUUAUGUAUCUUGAGAAACUGUCUUUGUGUGUUAUGAGCAUUUGGUGAAGCCUGUAUUGUACCUAUUCAAAGUUUAGUUUCACUAAAUGAUCUUAAAAGCAACUCAUCCAAAAUGCUGCUACACAAACCCACGUCUAUUGUCUCUUAAAGCCUAUAUGCACCUUCAUUUGGUGAAAGCCUUUCUAGCACUAGUCCACUACCAACGUUGUUAUUAAUAAUGUUAUCAAAUUUAUUUAUCCAAGUACUAUGUUUAUUUUUU